rnacentral:misc_RNA from 1 species
GAUGAAGAUCGUAGCGAAAUGCGAUAAGUAAUGCGAAUUGCAGAAUUUCCGUGAGUCAUCGAAUCUUUGAACGCACAUUGCGCCCACUGGUAUUCCGGUGGGCAUGCCUGUUCGAGCGUCAUUAUCCUCCCUCAAACCCCGGGUUUGGUGUUGGACCCAAGUUGUGUGAACAACUGGUCUCAAAGACAAUGACGGCGUCCGUGGGACCCUCGGUGCAACGAGCUUUUAGGAGCACGCAUCGAGUUGCAAGGACCUUCCGGGCCGGUCUCCUUUACCAUUUUACAAGGUUGACCUCGGAUCAGGUAGGAAUACCCGCUGAACUUAAGCAUAUCAAUAAGCGGAGGA